rnacentral:lncRNA from 1 species
AAACUAUGAGUCGGAUGACACUUUAGUCCUCAUACUUUACUUUGUUUUAAUAUCUGGCUCGAACUUCCAGAAUUACUAUAAUCAAUUCUUAUAAUACACUUUAAUUGAUGAAAUUGUGAUGCAUUAUUAAUAUGAAAGUGAUGUGAUGUCUUAAUCAUGAACGCAUCAUCAAUUACAAUAUUUCUACACCACUUCUAUUAACAAUUUGUCAAUAAUUGGUCAAUGAAUUAGAUUGUGGGACUUGAUUGCAGUAAUUUAGAGAAUUUGAGUAUAAUAAAUUUAAGUCUGAGG